UACGUAGGGGGCAAGCGUUGUCCGGAUUUACUGGGUGUAAAGGGCGCGCAGGCGGGUUGGCAAGUCAGAGGUGAAAUCCUACAGCUUAACUGUAGAACUGCCUUUGAUACUGCUGAUCUUGAGUACGGAAGAGAGAAGCGGAAUUCCAGGUGUAGUGGUGAAAUACGUAGAUAUCUGGAAGAACACCAGUUGCGAAGGCGGCUUCUUGGUCCGUUACUGACGCUCAGGCGCGAAAGCGUGGGUAGCAAAC
rnacentral:rRNA from 1 species